UUCGACUAAGCCAUGCGAGUCGAGAGGGUUCGGCCCUCGGCGUACUGCUCAGUAACACGUGGAUAACCUGCCCUAGGGAAGGGGAUAACCCCGGGAAACUGGGGAUAAUACCCUAUAGAUUACAGAUGCUGGAAUGCCCUGUAAUCCAAAGUUCCGACGCCCUAGGAUGGAUCUGCGGCCGAUUAGGUUGUUGUUGGGGUAAUGGCCCAACAAGCCCGUAAUCGGUACGGGUUGUGGGAGCAAGAGCCCGGAGUUGGAUUCUGAGACACGAAUCCAGGCCCUACGGGGCGCAGCAGGCGCGAAAACUUUACAAUGCGGGCAACCGUGAUAAGGGAACCUCGAGUGCCUGUAAAUGCAGGCUGUUCAGGUGCCUAAAACACACCUGAAGAAAGGGCCGGGCAAGACCGGUGCCAGCCGCCGCGGUAAUACCGGCGGCUCGAGUGGUGGCCGCUUUUAUUGGGCUUAAAGCGUUCGUAGCUGGGUUGUUAAGUCUCUUGGGAAAUCUGGCGGCUUAACCGUCAGGCGUCUAAGGGAUACUGGCAAUCUUGGAACCGGGAGAGGUGAGGGGUACUUCGGGGGUAGGAGUGAAAUCCUGUAAUCCUCGAGGGACCACCUGUGGCGAAGGCGCCUCACCAGAACGGCUUCGACAGUGAGGGACGAAAGCUGGGGGAGCAAACCGGAUUAGAUACCCGGGUAGUCCCAGCCGUAAACUAUGCGCGUUAGGUGUAUCGGUGACCACGAGUUACCGAGGUGCCGAAGGGAAACCGUGAAACGUGCCGCCUGGGAAGUACGGUCGCAAGGCUGAAACUUAAAGGAAUUGGCGGGGGAGCA
rnacentral:rRNA from 1 species